GGCGGUUCUCAGGUGACACACCUGGAAUCGGGCUCCCUCCUCUUUGGUUCCUGGUGUGUCACCCGAGAACUGCA
rfam:Myotis lucifugus cont2.18212, whole genome shotgun sequence.